rnacentral:rRNA from 1 species
GAUGAACGCUGGCGGCGUGCCUAAUACAUGCAAGUCGAGCGAAUGGAUUAAGAGCUUGCUCUUAUGAAGUUAGCGGCGGACGGGUGAGUAACACGUGGGUAACCUGCCCAUAAGACUGGGAUAACUCCGGGAAACCGGGGCUAAUACCGGAUAACAUUUUGAACCGCAUGGUUCGAAAUUGAAAGGCGGCUUCGGCUGUCACUUAUGGAUGGACCCGCGUCGCAUUAGCUAGUUGGUGAGGUAACGGCGCACCAAGGCAACGAUGCGUAGCCGGCGCGGGAGGGUGAUCGGCCACACUGGGACUGAGACACGGCCAAGACUGCGAAGGGAGGCAGCAGUAGGGGAUCUUCCGCAAUGGGCGAAAGUCUGACGGAGCAACGCCGCGUGAGUGAUGAAGGCUUUCGGGUCGUAAAACUCUGUUGUUAGGGAAGAACAAGUGCUAGUUGAAUAAGCUGGCACCUUGACGGUACCUAACCAGAAAGCCACGGCUAACUACGUGCCAGCCGCCGCGGUAA